UGGUGGAGUGAUUUGUCUGCUUAAUUGCGUUAACGAACGAGACCUUGACCUGCUAAAUAGCCAGUUUUACUUUGGUAGAACGCAGGCUUCUUAGAGGGACUUUUGGCUCAAGCCAAUGGAAGUACGAGGCAAUAACA
rnacentral:rRNA from 1 species